rnacentral:rRNA from 1 species
GCAGCAGUGGGGAAUAUUGGACAAUGGGGGGAACCCUGAUCCAGCCAUGCCGCGUGUGUGAAGAAGGCCUUUUGGUUGUAAAGCACUUUAAGCAGUGAAGAAGACUCUAUGGUUAAUACCCAUAGACGAUGACAUUAGCUGCAGAAUAAGCACCGGCUAACUCUGUGCCAGCAGCCGCGGUAAUACAGAGGGUGCAAGCGUUAAUCGGAAUUACUGGGCGUAAAGCGAGCGUAGGUGGCUUAAUAAGUCAGAUGUGAAAUCCCCGGGCUUAACCUGGGAACUGCAUCUGAUACUGUUAGGCUAGAGUAGGUGAGAGGGAGGUAGAAUUUCAGGUGUAGCGGUGAAAUGCGUAGAGAUCUGAAGGAAUACCGAUGGCGAAGGCAGC